GGACGGGACGUAUUAUGGUAUACCGUUGUCCGUCCGUCCGUCUGUCCGUCCGUCGUCCACACUUCGGACAAUAACUCAAAAACACUUUCACCAAUUUCCAAGAAACUUUGGUGAAUUGUUUAUAUCUAUUGACGUAAGCUCCCUUUCGUUUUUUUUUAAUUUCAGAUUUUAAGUUUUGGAUUUAUGGGGCUUUAUUCAUAAAAAAGGGAGGAUUUUCAACACUUCGGAC
rnacentral:lncRNA from 1 species